rnacentral:rRNA from 1 species
AUUGAACGCUGGCGGCAUGCCUUACACAUGCAAGUCGAACGGCAGCACGGGAGCAAUCCUGGUGGCGAGUGGCGAACGGGUGAGUAAUAUAUCGGAACGUGCCCGGUCGUGGGGGAUAACGUAGCGAAAGCUACGCUAAUACCGCAUACGAUCUACGGAUGAAAGCGGGGGAUCGCAAGACCUCGCGCGAUUGGAGCGGCCGAUAUCAGAUUAGGUAGUUGGUGAGGUAAAGGCUCACCAAGCCGACGAUCUGUAGCUGGUCUGAGAGGACGACCAGCCACACUGGGACUGAGACACGGCCCAGACUCCUACGGGAGGCAGCAGUGGGGAAUAUUGGACAAUGGGCGAAAGCCUGAUCCAGCCAUGCCGCGUGUGUGAAGAAGGUCUUCGGAUUGUAAAGCACUUUAAGUUGGGAGGAAGGGUAGUAACCGUAAUACGUUGCUACUUUGACGUUACCGACAGAAUAAGCACCGGCUAACUUCGUGCCAGCA